rnacentral:rRNA from 1 species
CCUACGGGUGGCAGCAGUGAGGAAUAUUGGUCAAUGGACGAGAGUCUGAACCAGCCAAGUAGCGUGAAGGAUGACUGCCCUAUGGGUUGUAAACUUCUUUUAUAUGGGAAUAAAACGUUCCACGUGUGGGAUUUUGUAUGUACCAUAUGAAUAAGGAUCGGCUAACUCCGGGCCAGCAGCCGCGGGAAUACGGAGGAUCCGAGCGUUAUCCGGAUUUAUUGGGUUUAAAGGGAGCGUAGGUGGAUUGUUAAGUCAGUUGUGAAAGUUUGCGGUUCAACCGUAAAAUUGCAGUUGAAACUGGCAGUCUUGAGUACAGUAGAGGUGGGCGGAAUUCGUGGUGUAGCGGUGAAAUGCUUAGAUAUCACGAAGAACUCCGAUUGCGAAGGCAGUUCACUGGACUGCAACUGACACUGAGGCUCGAAAGUGUGGGUAUCAAACAGGAUUAGAUACCCGAGUAGUC